AAUUCCAGUUUCCCGAUUCAAAAAUCCCAAAAGCUUCCAAUCUUCCAUUUGAUUCCCAUGUGCUUUUUCUUUCGAUUCGUGGUUUAUUAACGAGGUUCUCUACCCUUGUAGAAGCCUAAUGGUCCCAAACCAUGGCCACCGAAAUCGUCUUCCAAGUCGCCCUCCUCAACUCAGGAUGAGAUCGAGAUAUGGUUGAGAGUCACCAAGAACAAAAGUACCAGAUAGAUCUGAUGGUGAUGAUCUUUAUCCCUUUCUUCACCGAAAUCUUUAUCUAAAAUUUAACGUUAUUUCUUUGGUUUGGUUUUGCAAGCUCCUCCUGCUACGUUAAGAUCAUCCCCAGAAAGAGAUUUUGAGAUUGAAUAUGUGAUCGUAGAUGCUAAAUCCUCCUCGGCUCUCUCUGUUUUGGUUUUUUUAAGUCUCUAUCUUGUCUCUCUUGUUUUCCUCUAUUUUCAUUCACUCAAGGACACCAAAAAAUGUGCUUCCAUCUAUUUCUGGCUCGGGAGAACUGAAUAUCGCUACUCUUUCAGAGAUUGCAAAAAACAUGGUGGUAUCAUGAGAUUCAUUCAAGUUUCUUACUUAGGGGCAUCUCCAUCUUCUCCAUCUAGAUUGCUAAAAGCUAAAGCUGCAACAAAGGUAGCCGUUUUGACAGAAUUUCCAGAGGUCAAUUCUUUAGAUACUCUACUUCUCAAAACCUUUAGAGUUCGAAGCUCUUAUACACAAUCCUGAAGUUGUUCACAAAUUAUUGGUGGUGUAUAUGGAUCAAUGGUUCCCAACAACUAGGUAAUGCAUAUCGGUCAAAAUAACAAUAUCAAUGAAGUACUAUUAUUGUUGUACAUGAUGAUAUGUGAAUGUAUAAAUACCAAGAAAUAAUUCACCUUGAAACAACUGUAAACCUUUGUUGGAUAUUCUGAAAUUAACAAACAACUCAUUAUUUUUCAUUGCAUGUAAAUGUUACCGUACAUCCCGCAUAAGGAAAUUGGCCUUCAAAAUGAUAAGCUGUAUAAGGUGUCCUUGGCACCUUGUGCAAAUCUAUAGGUGGGAUUUCAUUCACGACAUUGGACCCUAACUUGAAUUGCUUGGGGACUUACGCAGCAAAAUGGAGAAGCAUUCUAAAUAUAAUUCUGGCUAGACUUUUGGAAUUGUGCAAGAGUCUAGAGUUGCAGAAAUGAAAACCUUGUUAACUUGAAAUAUUAUUGUGAAGAUGCUUACAUGGGACUUCUUUACUACACC